rnacentral:sRNA from 1 species
CCCUAGCCCUGAUAGAAGCGGUAUCCUUUACUUGCGUUCUUUAAGCAAGUAAAGAUACGAGCGAAUAGCAGGAAAUAGC